rnacentral:tRNA from 1 species
GGGGCAGUGGUGGAACCGGUAGACACACGGGACUUAAAAUCCCGGGCUCUUUGAGCGUGUGAGUUCGAGCCUCACCUGCCCCACCC